GGACAGAAAGACCCUAUGAAGCUUUACUGUAACUUGAAAUUGAAAUUGGACUUUAUUUGCGCAGUAUAGGUGGGAGGCGUUGAGAAUAUUCUUGCGGGAAUAUUGGAGCCAUCAGUGAGAUACCACUCUUGUAAUGUUAGAUUUCUAACUUUGAAUCAUUAUCUGGUCAAAGAACAGUUUCAGGCGGGCAGUUUGACUGGGGCGGUCGCCUCCCAAACGGUAACGGAGGCGCACAAAGGUUUCCUCUGAACGGGUAGAAAUCGUAUCUAGAGUGUAAAGGCAUAAGGAAGCUUGACUGUGAGACCUACAAGUCGAGCAGGGACGAAAGUCGGUCUUAGUGAUCUGACGGUGCUGAGUGGAAAGGCCGUCACUCAACGGAUAAAAGUUACUCUAGGGAUAACAGGCUGA
rnacentral:rRNA from 1 species